UACGGAGGGUGCAAGCGUUGUUCGGAAUCAUUGGGCGUAAAGCGCGUGUAGGCGGCUUGGCAAGUCAGUUGUGAAAGCCCGGGGCCCAACCCCGGAACUGCAUCUGAAACUGCUUGGCUGGAGUCCCGGAGAGGAAGGCAGAAUUCCCGGUGUAGGGGUGAAAUCCGUAGAUAUCGGGAGGAAUACCAGUGGCGAAGGCGACUACCUGGCCUGUUCUUGACGCUGAGGCGCGAAAGCUAGGGGAGCAAACGGG
rnacentral:rRNA from 1 species